rnacentral:misc_RNA from 1 species
AAGUCGUAACAAGGUUUCCGUAGGUGAACCUGCGGAAGGAUCAUUAAAGUAGAUAGGGUUCUUCAUGGCCCGACCUCCAAGCCCUCUGUUGUUAAAACUACCUUGUUGCUUUGGCGGGACCGCUUCGGUCUCGAGCCGCUGGGGAUUCGUCCCAGGCGAGCGCCCGCCAGAGUUAACCAAACUCUUGUUAUUUAACCGGUCGUCUGAGUUAAAUUUGAAUAAAUCAAAA